UGAAAACAGGUGCUUAACUGACAGAGUUACCCAGAAUACCAUGUUGGAGACAAAUUAUAAGAAACUUAAUCUUUGAGAUUUUAAAAAAUGAAAGAAAAAUUAAAAUGAAGACAAGUUAGAAAAAGAGAUCAUAAAAAUUGCAGAGCUGCUGUAACAUGCUGGAUGAGGAGGCCAUGUUUUCAAAUGUUGCAAAGAAUUUAAGGGCAGAACAACCCAAUUUGAUAAUGCAGUGUAAGGUUCUGAAGUUACUCUCCGUCUCGCUGAAGAAAUGACUGCGGGCACAUUGUUCUUAGCUGUCCAUUCCAUCCAUUGGGACACAAGUGUCCCUGGAAAUCAUGACAGAUGGUGAAACACGGCAGCUGCGGCACUACUGGUGGCAACAUCAGGGAGCAAUCCUUUCCCUCAAACCAGCGAGUAACUGGAAGCAGAAAAGACCCCAUAGAGUAAAACUACCUAAAAUUGAAACCAAAAUUUCAGAGACAAUAGCAGGAAAAGGGAAGUUUUGGUUGGGACUGUAUCUAGAACUAUAAAAGGAAAAAGUAGUGAAC